rnacentral:lncRNA from 1 species
UGUUGACUGGCAAAUGGAGUAUGAAAUAAAGUUAUCUUUGUGGUUGUAGGCAUCUGACCUCGCAAGCUCUAAAUCCAGAUUGCGUUGAGAGGCUUGGUGACAGAUUCAUACUGAACAAGUGCAAAGUAGUAGGCAUUAAAUUAACAUCGCAAUUUACACACUGGAAAUUAUCAGUAUUCUACAGGUGAUAAUACCAAUCUUACUUUAACUAAACAUAGUGUAUUAUUCAGGCUGUUCAUAAAGUUCUUAUUUUAACUUAAAAGAUGGUGAAAUUUAUUAUGGGCUGAAUUGUGUCUUCCAAAACUUGUAUGGUAAGUCCUAUCCCCCAACCGCUUAAAAAAAAAAAAAAAAAAAGACUGUAUUUGGAGACUGGCCUAAAGAGAUCAUAGGGGUGAGAUCAAAUGGGUGAAUCUUAAUCCAAUAUGACUGACAUCCUUUUAAGUAGAAAACGGACAUGGACAGCCACAUGACGUAAAGGGAAGAAAAUAGCAAGCCAAGAAAAAAGGUCUACACAAAGCCUUGGUCUUGAUUUUCCAGCCUUCAGGACUGUUAGAAAAUCUUUGUUUUUAAGCAUUUGUUACUGCAGACUUCAAUAACAAAUGCAAGGACUAUGCAAUCCACAGAAGUGAGGUAAUUUAUACAACUUGAUGUCAUUAGAAUAAGCGUAUCUAGUGAAUCCUACUUUACAAUAAAAACCUGUAUCUAGGGGCCUUCAUUUUGCCCUCUACCAUGUAAGCACAGUACAUAGUUGAUAGUUCUAAAUGUGCAGGAACGUUUUCACUUCAUAGGGAUACUGCUGUGUCAAAAGCUAAAGAGUUGAUCUGGUGGAAGCAGGUCUUUUGUUUGUUUUUGCUUUUUUGUCUGGUGUUAUAAAUUUAUUUCCUCCGUGACUGCAUACUGCAUUUGUCCUCUACAUAGGAACAGUUCCCUGGCUUCACCUGCAAUCUGAAUUACUAUGGAUACAUUUUUGAUUUGAGUAUCUGACUUCAGGGGUAGCUGUUCUACUUGUCUUUUCUGUUCCAUUUGUCAUGUAUAAAUUUCAGAGGUGAUUAGUUUGUAGGCUGGCAACUCUAAGUCAAUAUGAAAAAGACUGUUUAAAGUGCAUGAGUAAAUUAAAUUCCAGCACUCUUCUGCUAGAAAUUUCCCCAAAAGCUAACCCACUAUAUUAAUAAUAUUUAAUAUAAUGCUAUAAAAGUUCUCUAAACAAACUACUUUGUCUCAGCAGGUAAUAAUCUUUGUUUGAACAUUUAGGACAAGCAGCAUUGGUUUAGAGAGAAUUAAAUUCACAUGUAACUUAAAUACUUACAAAAUGUUUGUAAUUCAUGAUAAUGAAUAAGUGCAGUUUUGCUAACUUGCUAAUGAGGCACGGUGAAAAACAAAAUGGUAAGAAUUAUAUUAGUAUUGAAUUUGUUUAAGUCUAUGUUUAACUUCGUUCAUUACUUCUAAAUGUACAAAUUGUAUUUAGGUUGAUAUAUGAAAACUUUGUUUUACAUGUACAAGUGCUUCUAAGAAGCACUAAGUCAUAUCUUCAUGAUGCUACGUUCUGCGAGCGGCCAAUGUAUUGACGCACUGAAACAUUCCGAUUCCCUGGGUAGACCUGAUUUCUCGCGUUUCUCUAUUAUUAAUUGAUCUUUUGUUGAAGUAAUUGGACAUCUCGGUAGACAUUAAUCUUUUUAUCCAUCUAUGUUCACCUGCAUCAUCAUAAACAGGGAUCAAUGAAUAGUAAUUAAAAUUAAAUCCACACAUUUAAACAGUCGAAGCUCUUGAAAACAUAAACCUUGGUGCACUUCUAAGGAGAAAUGCUGUGAAACAAAUAAUUGUCACCAAGUCCAUUUGCAAAUAGAGGAAGCCCCAGCCAGUUCCUUUUUCUUUUGAGAUGGCUAACUUUGGUAAAACUGUUCCAAAACAAUAAUAACAAAAAACUACACAUCAUGAGCUUCUUAGUUUUUAUAUGUACACUUGUUAAAAUGGGCAUUAUUCACACCAGGAGGUGCAAAGUUCUGCAUUCCUGACGAGCCCCUAAUGGCCACACAGUUAGGAAACCCAUGAAAACCACUUUGAGUAGCAAGGAUCUAAAAUGCUUAAUCUAGAUAAUUUACAAAAUUCUUUCAUUUUACCUUAAAUCAAAAUCUAGCCCUUGACAUUUUCAUGAACACUUAUUGAACACCUUCUAUGAUAUUGACUAGAAGGACCAAGAGUAUGGCCUUCAGACCAACUACAUCAGCAUCACAUGGGAACUCACUAUAAAGGCAAACUGGAACCAGACAAGGUAUUCACAAACAUGCCUACCUACAUCUCCAGCAUGUCACAGGCUGGGGACACACAGCCACACCUUCACUCAGCAAGUAAGCAAAUUAGUGGCUAUGUACAAAUUUUUAAUUGCCUUAGUCUCAGUAGCAUAACAUGGUUGGGCUAUUUCGUCAAUAAAUUCCACUAACUAUACAGUGAGCACCAAAAAAC